GGAAUCUUCCACAAUGGACGAAAGUCUGAUGGAGCAACGCCGCGUGAGUGAAGAAGGUUUUCGGAUCGUAAAACUCUGUUGUUGGAGAAGAACACGUUUGAGAGUAACUGUUCAGACGUUGACGGUAUCCAACCAGAAAGCCACGGCUAACUACGUGCCAGCAGCCGCGGUAAUACAUAGGGGGCAAGCGUUAUCCGGAAUUAUUGGGCGUAAAGCGUGCGUAGGCGGUUUAUUAAGUCUGGUGUGAAAUCCCACAGCUUAACUGUGGAGGGUCAUUGGAAACUGGUAAACUAGAGUACGGUAGGGAUAAGUGGAAUUCCAAGUGGAGCGGUGGAAUGCGUAGAGAUUUGGAGGAACACCAGUGGCGAAGGCGGCUUAUUGGGCCGGAACUGACGCUGAGGCACGAAAGCGUGGGGAGCAAACA
rnacentral:rRNA from 1 species